rnacentral:lncRNA from 1 species
ACAGGAAACCCCGGUGAGUUUUCAAGUCAUUCUUGAAUUCAUUCAUUCAUUCAUUCAUUCAGCCAUCUGAAAACAUCUAUUGACCACAUACUACAAGCCAGCUUUAGUUUUCGGCCCCAGGAAGCCUCAUCCUGACUUCCUCUUGAUUGUGGGAUGCGAGGUGUUCCCAGCUAGAGGCCUGUGGGAGAAAAGAAACCUCAUUCUUGGAGUCGGAGAGAAAGUUGUGAACAUUGAACACCCUCCCUCUCAAUGUGGCCAGAGUGUGGGAAGGAGUGGGGUAGAGGCUUGUAGCUCAUGAGACCCACCUCCGCUCUGUGCUCUGUAGGUCAUUCCUCAGGUCCUCCAGGGCACAAGCUUGAGGGACAGGGCCCAGCUUUGGGUCUGGGGAUUCAGUCAUCUGACAUUGCCUGGCAGGUGGAUCUCCACUGUGGGAGGGGAAUGGGGUGAGGAAGGCCUGAGGGACAGGGCGCAGAGAGGUGAGCUCAUGGAUGUGAGCAAACAGGAGAGAAGAAAGAAUGUGAGAUUGGAUUGCGUGUGUAUGAAGGAGAGGAAGACUCGUGCUGGGGGAUUAGCUGUGGGGGUCCUGUUCCACUCCCUGUUUGUGGUGACUGGUCAUGAAGUAAGUCACCAGGAUGACCCUGUCUUUCCAAUUGCCCACCACCUGUGGCUCUUUUUCCCCCCCCUGCCCCCCCAUAUUUCCCUUCCCUGACACCUCCUGUCCCAACCUCUCUAACCCCCCUGGGCAUUUUCUGGCUUGCCUGGAUAGAUUUAGAGACCUGCUUGUUGGCUAUAAUGUCUUUUCAUUCAUUCAUUCUUCUUUUUCUUUUUUUAAAAAAACAAAAUGAAACAACAAAACCAAAAAGUAUCCAGAA